GAUGAACGCUAGCGACAGGCCUAACACAUGCAAGUCGAGGGGCAUCGGGGCGAGGAGCAAUCCUUGCCGCCGGCGACCGGCGCACGGGUGAGUAACGCGUAUGCGACCUGCCCGUUGCAGGGGGAUAAUCGGGAGAAAUCCCGUCUAAUACCGCGUAACGCCGCGGGGCUGCAUGGCCCUGCGGCCAAAGGGAGCGAUUCCGGCAACGGAUGGGCAUGCGUGACAUUAGCUAGUUGGCGGGGCAACGGCCCACCAAGGCGACGAUGUCUAGGGGUUCUGAGAGGAAGGUCCCCCACAUUGGAACUGAGACACGGUCCAA
rnacentral:rRNA from 1 species